GAUGAACGCUGGCGGCGUGCCUAAUACAUGCAAGUCGAGCGAACAGACGAGGAGCUUGCUCCUCUGACGUUAGCGGCGGACGGGUGAGUAACACGUGGAUAACCUACCUAUAAGACUGGGAUAACUUCGGGAAACCGGAGCUAAUACCGGAUAAUAUAUUGAACCGCAUGGUUUAAUAGUGAAAGACGGUUUUGCUGUCACUUAUAGAUUGAUCCGCGCCGCAUUAGCUAGUUGGUAAGGUAACGGCUUACCAAGGCAACGAUGCGUAGCCGACCUGAGAGGGUGAUCGGCCACACUGGAACUGAGACACGGUCCAGACUCCUACGGGAGGCAGCAGUAGGGAAUCUUACGCAAUGGGCGAAAGCCUGACGGAGCAACGCCGCGUGAGUGAUGAAGGUCUUCGGAUCGUAAAACUCUGUUAUUAGGGAAGAACAAAUGUGUAAGUAACUAUGCACGUCUUGACGGUACCUAAUCAGAAAGCCACGGCUAACUACGUG
rnacentral:rRNA from 1 species